CGGCGCGCUUCGGCGCUGCCUUAUUCACCCACCCUUUGUCUACGUGUACCUCCAUAGCUUCCUCGGCGGGCUCGCCCGCCGCCAGGAACCCACGAAACCCCUUGCAUUAUACACGAAAACUUCUGAUAACAAACCUAAAUUAUCACAACUUUCAACAAUGGAUCUCUUGGUUCUGGCAUCGAUGAAGAACGCAGCGAAAUGCGAUAAGUAGUGUGAAUUGCAGAAUUCAGUGAAUCAUCGAAUCUUUGAACGCACAUUGCGGCCAUAGGUAUUCCUUUGGCCAUGCCUGUUCGAGCGUCAUUUACACCCUCAAGCCUAGCUUGGUGUUGGGCGUCUGUCCCGCCGUUUACGCGCGCGGACUCGCCUCAAAGUCAUUGGCGGCGGUCGUGCCGGCCCCUCGCGCAGCACAUUUGCGCUUCUCGGAGGCCCGGCGGAUCCGCGCUCCAGCAAAGACCUUUCAUGACUUGACCUCGGAUCAGGUAGGGAUACCCGCUGAACUUAAGCAUAUCAAAGCGGGGGGAGAAAAACCUAUUCACUC
rnacentral:rRNA from 1 species